GGCUGCUUUUUGGUAGCCCGAGUUGUAAUUUGAAGAACGGUUCUUGGAGAGGCGCCUUGUCUAUGUUCCUUGGAACAGGACGUCGCAGAGGGUGAGAAUCCCGUUUGGCGAGGUGUGCUGAUCCGUGUGAGGGCCGUUCGACGAGUCGAGUUGUUUGGGAAUGCAGCUCUAAGUGGGUGGUAAAUUCCAUCUAAAGCUAAAUAUUGGCGAGAGACCGAUAGCGAACAAGUACAGUGAUGGAAAGAUGAAAAGAACUUUGAAAAGAGAGUGAAAAAGUACGUGAAAUUGUUGAAAGGGAAGGUUAUUAGAUCAGACUUGGACGGGAGCUAUACUUGUCCCCUUGUGGGGCAUUCACUAGCUUCCAUUCCAGGCCAGCAUCGAUUGGGGCGGCGUGAAAAAGAGGGAGGAAUGUGGCCUGUGCUUCGGCACUUGUGUUUAUAGCCUCUCUUCAUAGCGCCUGGCUCGAUCGAGGACUGCGGCCGUAAGGCCUAGGAUGCUGGCGUAAUGAUCUAAUAUCG
rnacentral:rRNA from 1 species